GUGGAGGGAGACCAGUGGGAGUUUUGGAACGCAUAUAUGCGUUCCAUUGAAGUGCCCUGUUAUGAGAGCCGGAGAUAGCAGACCGAGUGGAACGCACUAUGCGUUCCACUCGGAGAGAAACCCCGGAAGUGACGUCAGAAUGCGGAAGUGACGUCACAUUAUUGGCGCCGCCGGAAGUAGGAAAUGAAUGCAAACGGAGAUAUGGAACGCACG